rnacentral:rRNA from 1 species
UACGUAGGGUGCGAGCGUUGUCCGGAAUUAUUGGGCGUAAAGGGCUCGUAGGCGGUUUGUCGCGUCGGGAGUGAAAACCCAGGGCUUAACCCUGGGCUGGCUUCCGAUACGGGCAGACUAGAGGUAUGCAGGGGAGAACGGAAUUCCUGGUGUAGCGGUGAAAUGCGCAGAUAUCAGGAGGAACACCGGUGGCGAAGGCGGUUCUCUGGGCAUUACCUGAUGCUGAGGAGCGAAAGUGUGGGGAGCGAACAGG